GUGCUUGCUUCAGCAGCACAUAUACUGAAAUUGGGCUAAUACAGAGAAGAUUAGCAUUUCUCCUGUAUAAUGAUGACAUGCAGAUUUGUGAUGCAUUCCAUAUUUAA
ensembl:snRNA U6 U6 spliceosomal RNA